AACAAAUUAAUCUUUUACUUUUUACUUAUAAUAUUUAACUCUUCGUCUUAUUAAAAAAAUUACAAUUAAUAUUUUUGUUUUUUAUUAGAGGAUAAAUCAUGAAUAAUACUUUAAGUCUGACUAUUUUUUUAAAAAAUUUUUAAAAAAAAUUUAAAUAAGACGGAUGAUCAAACGCUGGACACGGAAACCAAAGGAUUGGUUUAUU
rnacentral:pre_miRNA from 1 species